rnacentral:rRNA from 1 species
UAGGGAAUAUUGGACAAUGGGCGAAAGCCUGACCCAGCGACGUCGCGUGGAGGAAGAAGGCUUUUGGGCUGUAAACUCCUUUUCCAAGGGAAGAGAAAGGACGGUACCUUGGGAAUAAGCUCCGGCUAACUACGUGCCAGCAGCCGCGGUAAUACGUAGGGAGCGAGCGUUACCCGGAAUUACUGGGCGUAAAGUGCGCGUAGGCGGCUUGGUAAGUCUUUUGUGAAAGCUCCCGGCUUAACUGGGAGAGUGCAGAGGAAACUAUCUGGCUAGAGGGCAGCAGAGGAAAGCGGAAUUCUCGGUGUAGCGGUGAAAUGCGUAGAUAUCGAGAGGAACACCAGUGGCGAAGGCGGCUUUCUGGGCUGUACCUGACGCUGAGGCGCGAGAGCGUGGGGAGCAAACAGG